GAUAAACGCUGGCGGCGCACAUAAGACAUGCAAGUUGAACGGACUUAAUCGAAAUAUUUAUAUUUUGAAGCGGUUAGUGGCGGACUGGUGAGUAACGCGUAAGGAACCUGCCUAUUAGAGGGGAAUAACAGUGAGAAAUCAUUGCUAAUACCGCAUAUGCCAUAGAUAUCACAUGAUAACAGUGGGAAAGGAGCAAUCCGCUAAUAGAUGGCCUUGCGUCUGAUUAGAUAGUUGGUGGGGUAACGGCCUACCAAGUCGACGAUCAGUAGCCGGACUGAGAGGUUGAACGGCCACAUAGGGACUGAGAGACGGCCCAGACUCCUACGGGAGGCAGCAGUCGGGAAUAUUGCGCAAUGGAGGAAACUCUGACGCAGUGACGCCGCGUAUAGGAAGAAGGUUUUCGGAUUGUAAACUAUUGUCGUUAGGGAAGAGAAAGGACAGUACCUAAGGAGGAAGCUCCGGCUAACUACGUG
rnacentral:rRNA from 1 species